rnacentral:rRNA from 1 species
UACGUAGGGGGCAAGCGUUGUCCGGAUUUAUUGGGCGUAAAGAGCGUGUAGGCGGCCAGACAGGUCAGCUGUGAAAACUCGAGGCUCAACCUCGAGACGUCGGUUGAAACCGUCUGGCUAGAGUCCGGAAGAGGAGAGUGGAAUUCCCGGUGUAGCGGUGAAAUGCGCAGAUAUCGGGAAGAACACCCGUGGCGAAGGCGGCUCUCUGGGCCUUACCUGACGCUGAGGAGCGAAAGCGUGGGGAGCGAACAGG